AAUUGGAGGGCAAGUCUGGUGCCAGCAGCCGCGGUAAUUCCAGCUCCAAUAGCGUAUAUUAAAGUUGUUGCAGUUAAAAAGCUCGUAGUUGAAUUUCGGGACCAAUUUGUUGGUCGUGCCUCGGUACGUACUGGUAUUAUUGGUUUCUCCCUUCUGAAGAACCUUGAUGUCAUUAAUUUGGUGUCUUGGGGAAUCAGGACUGUUACUUUGAAAAAAUUAGAGUGUUUAAAGCAGGCAUACGCUUGAAUACAUUAGCAUGGAAUAAUGAAAUAGGACGUUUGAUUCUAUUUUGUUGGUUUCUAGGAUUGACGUAAUGAUUAAUAGGGAUAGUUGGGGGCAUUAGUAUUCAAUUGUCAGAGGUGAAAUUCUUGGAUUUAUUGAAGACUAACUACUGCGAAAGCAUUUGCCAAGGAUGUUUUCAUUAAUCAAGAACGAAAGUUAGGGGAUCGAAGACGAUCAGAUACCGUCGUAGUCUUAACCAUAAACUAUGCCGACUAGGGAUCGGAUGAUGUUAAUUUUUUAAUGACUCAUUCGGCGCCUUACGGGAAACCAAAGUGU
rnacentral:rRNA from 1 species